rnacentral:lncRNA from 1 species
AUUUUGAGAGUCACAGAUCCCUUUGAGAAUCUGAGAUAACCAUGAACUCUCUUCCUAUACAAAGGCACACACAGAUCUCCUGAAGUUUGCCCAUGGAUUAUCCAUUUGAAAGCCUUAAAACAAAGAAGAUAAAUAAUUUAAUUAAUGUGGUAAUGUAAUAAGUAUAUACAGUAUGUAGAAUUCUGCACUAUGAAAAUGUAAAUAUUGCAUUUUUCCUUUUCAUGUACUCACAGAAAUAUUUAAAGAAAUUGAUCAUAUAGUAAGCCACAAAGAAAAUCUUAAUAAAUUCCAAAAAGAAAAAUAAUCAGAAAACUUGCCAUCGAUAUUUUCUGAUUACCAUAAUAUAGAGGUAGAAAUUACUAACAGAAGUAUAAACAAAAGAAUCCAACUUCCUGAAAAUGUCAAAACUUUCUCCUAAGUAAUUUAGAUCAAAGGGAAAAUCAAA